CAGUCGCCGCGGGAAUACAGAGGGUGCGAGCGUUAAUCGGAUUUACUGGGCGUAAAGCGUGCGUAGGCGGCUUUUUAAGUCGGAUGUGAAAUCCCUGAGCUUAACUUAGGAAUUGCAUUCGAUACUGGGAAGCUAGAGUGUGGGAGAGGAUGGUAGAAUUCCAGGUGUAGCGGUGAAAUGCGUAGAGAUCUGGAGGAAUACCGAUGGCGAAGGCAGCCAUCUGGCCUAACACUGACGCUGAGGUACGAAAGCAUGGGGAGCAAACAGGAUUAGAUACCCGAGUAGUCCCUGUCUCUUAUAC
rnacentral:rRNA from 1 species